UACGAAGGGGGCUAGCGUUGCUCGGAUUUACUGGGCGUAAAGCGCACGUAGGCGGAUCGUUAAGUCGGGGGUGAAAUCCUGGAGCUCAACUCCAGAACUGCCUUCGAUACUGGCGAUCUUGAGUCCGGAAGAGGUGAGUGGAACUCCUAGUGUAGCGGUGAAAUGCGUAGAGAUCAGGAGGAACACCUGUGGUGUAGACAGCUUACUGGACGGUGACUGACGCUGAGGCACGAAAGCGUGGGUAGCAAACAGG
rnacentral:rRNA from 1 species